GCCAGGGUAGGUCAGCCUGGUAGACUGGAGGCCUGUGGAGCCUCUGACCUGGGUUCGAAUCCCAGCCCUGGCC
rnacentral:tRNA from 1 species